rnacentral:rRNA from 1 species
UACGUAGGUGGCAAGCGUUGUCCGGAAUUAUUGGGCGUAAAGCGCGCGCAGGCGGCCUCUUAAGUCUGAUGUGAAAGCCCCCGGCUCAACCGGGGAGGGCCAUUGGAAACUGGGAGGCUUGAGUAUAGGAGAGAAGAGUGGAAUUCCACGUGUAGCGGUGAAAUGCGUAGAGAGUGUCGGAGGAACACCAGUAGGCGAAGGCGACUCUUUGGCCUAUAACUGACGCUGAGGCGACGAAAGCGUGGGGAGCAAACAGG